GCCGGGUGCAGUGGCAUGUGCCUGUAAUCCAAGUCACUGGGAGGCUGAGGUUGGUGGAUCAAGUGAGCUGAGGAGCUCUGGGCUGCAGCACGCUAUGUCGAACGGGUGUCCACGCUAAGUUCGGUAUCGAUAUGGUGUUCCUGGGGGAGCCUGGGACCACCAGGUUGUCUAAGGAGGGGUGAACCGGCCCAGGUCGGAAACGAAGCAGGUCAAAUCCCCCGUGCUGUCCAGUAGUGGGAUAAUACCUGUGAGUAGAUGCUGCAGUGCAGCCUUGGCAAAACAUCGAGACCUAAUCUUUU
ensembl:misc_RNA Metazoa_SRP Metazoan signal recognition particle RNA